ACAUGCAAGUCGAGGGGAAACGGCAUUUAGUGCUUGCACCGAAUGGACGUCGACCGGCGCACGGGUGAGUAACGCGUAUCCAACCUACCCAUUACUGUGGGAUAACCUGCCGAAAGGCAGACUAAUACCGCAUAGUCUUCGAUGACGGCAUCAGAUUUGAAGUAAAGAUUUAUCGGUAAUGGAUGGGGAUGCGUCUGAUUAGCUUGUUGGCGGGGUAACGGCCCACCAAGGCUACGAUCAGUAGGGGUUCUGAGAGGAAGGUCCCCCACAUUGGAACUGAGACACGGUCCAAACUCCUACGGGAGGCAGCAGUGAGGAAUAUUGGUCAAUGGGCGAGAGCCUGAACCAGCCAAGUAGCGUGCAGGAUGACGGCCCUAUGGGUUGUAAACUGCUUUUGUAUGGGGAUAAAGUCAAUCACGUGUGAUUGUUUGCAGGUACCAUACGAAUAAGGACCGGCUAAUUCCGUGCCAGCAGCCGCGGUAAUACGGAAGGUCCGGGCGUUAUCCGGAUUUAUCGGGUUUAAAGGGAGCGUAGGCCGGAGAUUAAGUGUGUUGUGAAAUGUAGACGCUCAACGUCUGACUUGCAGCGCAUACUGGUUUCCUUGAGUACGCACAACGUUGGCGGAAUUCGUCGUGUAGCGGUGAAAUGCUUAGAUAUGACGAAGAACUCCGAUUGCGAAGGCAGCUGACGGGAGCGCAACUGACGCUUAAGCUCGAAGGUGCGGGUAUCGAACAGGAUUAGAUACCCUGGUAGUCCGCACAGUAAACGAUGGAUGCCCGCUGUUGGUACCUGGUAUCAGCGGCUAAGCG
rnacentral:rRNA from 1 species